GACGAACGCUGGCGGCGUGCCUAAUACAUGCAAGUAGAACGCAGUUGCGAACGGGUGAGUAACGCGUAGGUAACUGCCUCAUAGCGGGGGAUAACUAUUGGAAACGAUAGCUAAUACCGCAUACUGUGAGAUGGACCUGCGUUGUAUUAGCUAGUUGGUGAUGUAAAGGCUCACCAAGGCGACGAUACAUAGCCGACCUGAGAGGGUGAUCGGCCACACUGUGACAGGGGCACGGGCGAAAGUGAUACGGGAGACAGCAGAAGGGAAUCGUCGGCAAUGGACGGAAGACUGACCGAGCAACGCGGCGUGAGUGAAGAAGGUUUACGAAUCGUAAAGCUCUGUUGUUAGAGAAGGGGUAGAUAUCCAGACAGGGACGGCUAACUACGAGCCAGCAGCCGCGGUAAUAC
rnacentral:rRNA from 1 species